rnacentral:rRNA from 1 species
GUGGGGAAUUUUGGACAAUGGGCGAAAGCCUGAUCCAGCAAUGCCGCGUGCAGGAUGAAGGCCUUCGGGUUGUAAACUGCUUUUGUACGGAACGAAAAGCCCUGGGUUAAUACCCUGGGGUCAUGACGGUACCGUAAGAAUAAGCACCGGCUAACUACGUGCCAGCAGCCGCGGUAAUACGUAGGGUGCGAGCGUUAAUCGGAAUUACUGGGCGUAAAGCGUGCGCAGGCGGUUUUGUAAGACAGAGGUGAAAUCCCCGGGCUCAACCUGGGAACUGCCUUUGUGACUGCAAGGCUAGAGUACGGCAGAGGGGGAUGGAAUUCCGCGUGUAGCAGUGAAAUGCGUAGAUAUGCGGAGGAACACCGAUGGCGAAGGCAAUCCCCUGGGCCUGUACUGACGCUCAUGCACGAAAGCGUGGGGAGCAAACAGGAUUAGAUACCCCUGUAGUCC